rnacentral:piRNA from 1 species
GAAAGCUGAGGACUAUUUUUUUUG